CACAAGCGGUGGAGCAUGUGGUUUAAUUCGAAGCAACGCGAAGAACCUUACCAGGUCUUGACAUCCCCUGACAACCCAAGAGAUUGGGCGUUCCCCUUCGGGGGACAGGGUGACAGGUGGUGCAUGGUUGUCGUCAGCUCGUGUCGUGAGAUGUUGGGUUAAGUCCCGCAACGAGCGCAACCCUCGCCUCUAGUUGCCAGCAUUCGGUUGGGCACUCUAGAGGGACUGCCGGCGACAAGUCGGAGGAAGGUGGGGAUGACGUCAAAUCAUCAUGCCCCUUAUGACCUGGGCUACACACGUGCUACAAUGGGCGGUACAAAGGGCUGCGAACCCGCGAGGGGGAGCGAAUCCCAAAAAGCCGCUCUCAGUUCGGAUUGCAGGCUGCAACUCGCCUGCAUGAAGCCGGAAUCGCUAGUAAUCGCGGAUCAGCAUGCCGCGGUCGAAUACGUUCCCGGGCCUU
rnacentral:rRNA from 1 species